GAUGAAGAACGCAGCGAAAUGCGAUAAGUAAUGUGAAUUGCAGAAUUCAGUGAAUCAUCGAAUCUUUGAACGCACAUUGCGCCCGCCAGGAUUCUGGCGGGCAUGCCUGUCUGAGCGUCAUUUCAACCCUCAAGCAACUUCUGCUUGGUGUUGGGGAUCGGCCGUCAAACGCCGCCCCCGAAAUCUAUUGGCGAUCUCGCUGUAGCUUCCUAUGCGUAGUAGUAACAUCUCGCAUCUGGAGAGCGGCGCGGUCAUGCCGUAAAACACCCAACUUCUCAGGUUGACCUCAGAUCAGGUAGGAAUACCCGCUGAACUUAAGCAUAUCAACAAGCGGAGGA
rnacentral:misc_RNA from 1 species